rnacentral:ncRNA from 1 species
UUUUUUCUUUGUUUUUGCUUUUGACUUUAUGGUGAAAUUAAAGGUUUUAUUAUACUAGUGUUUAAGAUUAUAAGAUUUAGUGAACGACCCAGAUUAGUACCUGGUUAGAUAAAAAUUAAAAGAGCAGGAGUAAAGUUAAAUUUAAACUGUAAUAAUAUUGGCAGGCUUUUAAAUUAUCUUUGGAGGCUGAGUAGUAAUUGAGAACCCUCAUUUACAACUUUUGUUUUAGGCUCAUGUAUGAUCGUUUAUUUUAUUCUUAGGGAUUGUAAUUUUAGUUAUUUGUCUGUUAAAAUAGAUAUAUACUUGGUUUAUGCAAGAGGUUAAUUUGGCCUACAAUGUUGUGGUUUUUGGAUAUCAUUAGUAGUUAGUGUUUGAAAUUGUAAAAGACAGUAAAGUCCUUUUAAUGUGGAAUUGAAGUUUAUUUAAAAGCGGUACAAAUCAUCCAUCAAUUGCCUAUAGGGGAGUAAGUUGUAGUAAAGU